GCAGCAUCAGAUAGCGUGGUUUCUAUAAUUGAUUUCGAGUCAGACAGGCCAACACUCUCAUUAAAGGGUCACGCAUCAGAGGUACAUUCUCUUUGUUGGGAUACGAAUGGAGAUUAUUUGGCUUCCGUUAGUCGGGAUUCUGUCAGAGUAUGGUCAAUCGUCUCAGGAGAAUGCAUCCACGAGCUCAUUUCAAGCGGAAAUUCAUUCCAUUCUUGCGUUUUUCACCCAAGCUAUU
rnacentral:misc_RNA from 1 species